CCCCGAUUGGCCACCGUGCUCACAGCCCACUGCAUUGUCGCCUCUGACGGGUGCAGAUGGUGCACAGAGGCCACCACUCUGCCACACAUGCUGGGAGAUGUAGUUCUUAGAAUAUUUAAACACCAGCAAAAACUACAGUUAUUAAAGAGAACAGUGCCUAAGGGACUGAGCUGAGCUUGUAAGAAGAGCACGCCUGCUUGCUAAUGAUUACAGCGGUAGCAGAAUUCCAUCUAGGGCUGGAUACCAAGGCCAGUAAUGCCUGUAAUCUCAGCACUUUGAGAGACCAAAGUGGGAGGAUCACUUGAGCCCAGGAAUUCAAGCCCACCCUGGGCAACACAGCAAGACCCUGCCACUCCAUUAUUUUUUAAAAUAAAAAAUAAAUAAAUAAAAAUUU
ensembl:lncRNA novel transcript